rnacentral:rRNA from 1 species
GAUGAACGCUGGCGGCGUGCCUAAUACAUGCAAGUCGAGCGAACGGACGAGAAGCUUGCUUCUCUGAUGUUAGCGGCGGACGGGUGAGUAACACGUGGAUAACCUACCUAUAAGACUGGGAUAACUUCGGGAAACCGGAGCUAAUACCGGAUGAUAUUUUGAACCGCAUGGUUCAAAAGUGAAAGACGGUCUUGCUGUCACUUAUAGAUGGAUCCGCGCUGCAUUAGCUAGUUGGUAAGGUAACGGCUACCAAGGCAACGAUGCAUAGCCGACCUGAGAGGGUGAUCGGCCACACUGGAACUGAGACACGGUCCAGACUCCUACGGGAGGCAGCAGUAGGGAAUCUUCCGCAAUGGGCGAAAGCCUGACGGAGCAACGCCGCGUGAGUGAUGAAGGUCUUCGGAUCGUAAAACUCUGUUAUUAGGGAAGAACAUAUGUGUAAGUAACUGUGCACAUCUUGACGGUACCUAAUCAGAAAGCCACGGCUAACUACGUG